rnacentral:rRNA from 1 species
UACGAAGGGGGCUAGCGGUGUUCGGAAUUACUGGGCGAAAAGCGCACGUAGGCGGAUUUGUUAGUCAGGGGUGAAAUCCCGGGGCUCAACCUCGGAACUGCCUUUGAUACUGCAAAUCUCGAGUCCGGAAGAGGUGAGUGGAAUUCCUAGUGUAGAGGUGAAAUUCGUAGAUAUUAGGAAGAACACCAGUGGCGAAGGCGGCUCACUGGUCCGGCACUGACGCUGAGGUGCGAAAGCGUGUGGAGCAAACAGG